AUCCGGCCGACGAGUCCCAAAUAGGAUGAAACACGCGUCCUGAAU
rnacentral:hammerhead_ribozyme from 1 species